rnacentral:rRNA from 1 species
GACGAACGCUGGCGGCGUGCCUAAUACAUGCAAGUCGAACGCAGUGGGGACGGGUGAGUAACACGUGGGUAACCUCCCAUCAGAGGGGAUAACACUUGGAAACAGGUGCUAAACCGAUACUGAUGGAUGGACCCGCGGUGCAUUAGCUAGUAGGUGGGGUAAAGGCUCACCUAGGCGACGAUCCCUAGCUGGUCUGAGGGGGUGACCAGCCACAAUGGGACUGAGACACGGUCCAGACUCCUACGGGAGGCAGCAGUGGGGAAUAUUGCACAAUGGGCGAAAGCCUGAGACAGCCAUGCCGCGUGUAUGAAGAAGGUCUUCGGGUUGUAAAGCACUUUCGGCGGGGAAGCGUUACCUGCAGAAGAAGCACCGGCUAACUCCGUGCCAGCAGCCGCGGUAAUUC